rnacentral:piRNA from 1 species
UGCCAGAGUCUUCUUGAAAGGGGAA